UGUAUAAUGGGUCAGCGACUUAUAUUCUGUAGCAAGGUUAACCGAAUAGGGGAGCCGAAGGGAAACCGAGUCUUAACUGGGCGUUAAGUUGCAGGGUAUAGACCCGAAACCCGGUGAUCUAGCCAUGGGCAGGUUGAAGGUUGGGUAACACUAACUGGAGGACCGAACCGACUAAUGUUGAAAAAUUAGCGGAUGACUUGUGGCUGGGGGUGAAAGGCCAAUCAAACCGGGAGAUAGCUGGUUCUCCCCGAAAGCUAUUUAGGUAGCGCCUCGUGAAUUCAUCUCCGGGGGUAGAGCACUGUUUCGGCAAGGGGGUCAUCCCGACUUACCAACCCGAUGCAAACUGCGAAUACCGGAGAAUGUUAUCACGGGAGACACACGGCGGGUGCUAACGUCCGUCGUGAAGAGGGAAACAACCCAGACCGCCAGCUAAGGUCCCAAAGUCAUGGUUAAGUGGGAAACGAUGUGGGAAGGCCCAGACAGCCAGGAUGUUGGCUUAGAAGCAGCCAUCAUUUAAAGAAAGCGUAAUAGCUCACUGGUCGAGUCGGCCUGCGCGGAAGAUGUAACGGGGCUAAACCAUGCACCGAAGCUGCGGCAGCGACGCUGAUGCGUUGUUGGGUAGGGGAGCGUUCUGUAAGCCUGCGAAGGUGUGCUGUGAGGCAUGCUGGAGGUAUCAGAAGUGCGAAUGCUGACAUAAGUAACGAUAAAGCGGGUGAAAAGCCCGCUCGCCGGAAGACCAAGGGUUCCUGUCCAACGUUAAUCGGGGCAGGGUGAGUCGACCCCUAAGGCGAGGCCGAAAGGCGUAGUCGAUGGGAAACAGGUUAAUAUUCCUGUACUUGGUGUUACUGCGAAGGGGGGACGGAGAAGGCUAUGUUGGCCGGGCGACGGUUGUCCCGGUUUAAGCGUGUAGGCUGGUUUUCCAGGCAAAUCCGGAAAAUCAAGGCUGAGGCGUGAUGACGAGGCACUACGGUGCUGAAGCAACAAAUGCCCUGCUUCCAGGAAAAGCCUCUAAGCAUCAGGUAACAUCAAAUCGUACCCCAAACCGACACAGGUGGUCAGGUAGAGAAUACCAAGGCGCUUGAGAGAACUCGGGUGAAGGAACUAGGCAAAAUGGUGCCGUAACUUCGGGAGAAGGCACGCUGAUAUGUAGGUGAAGUCCCUCGCGGAUGGAGCUGAAAUCAGUCGAAGAUACCAGCUGGCUG
rnacentral:rRNA from 1 species